AACAGACGAGGAGCUUGCUUCUCUGACGUUAGCGGCGGACGGGUGAGUAACACGUGGAUAACCUACCUAUAAGACUGGGAUAACUUCGGGAAACCGGAGCUAAUACCGGAUAAUAUAUUGAACCGCAUGGUUCAAUAGUGAAAGACGGUUUUGCUGUCACUUAUAGAUGGAUCCGCGCCGCAUUAGCUAGUUGGUAAGGUAACGGCUUACCAAGGCAACGAUGCGUAGCCGACCUGAGAGGGUGAUCGGCCACACUGGAACUGAGACACGGUCCAGACUCCUACGGGAGGCAGCAGUAGGGAAUCUUCCGCAAUGGGCGAAAGCCUGACGGAGCAACGCCGCGUGAGUGAUGAAGGUCUUCGGAUCGUAAAACUCUGUUAUUAGGGAAGAACAAAUGUGUAAGUAACUAUGCACGUCUUGACGGUACCUAAUCAGAAAGCCACGGCUAACUACGUGCCAGCAGCCGCGGUAAUACGUAGGUGGCAAGCGUUAUCCGGAAUUAUUGGGCGUAAAGCGCGCGUAGGCGGUUUUUUAAGUCUGAUGUGAAAGCCCACGGCUCAACCGUGGAGGGUCAUUGGAAACUGGAAAACUUGAGUGCAGAAGAGGAAAGUGGAAUUCCAUGUGUAGCGGUGAAAUGCGCAGAGAUACGGAGGAACACCAGUGGCGAAGGCGACUUUCUGGUCUGUAACUGACGCUGAUGCGCGAAAGCGUGGGGAUCAAACAGGAUUA
rnacentral:rRNA from 1 species